rnacentral:rRNA from 1 species
GUGGGGAAUAUUGGGCAAUGGGGGCAAGCCUGACCCAGCAACGCCGCGUGAAGGAAGAAGGCUUUCGGGUUGUAAACUUCUUUUCUGAGGGACGAAGAAAUGACGGUACCUCAGGAAUAAGCCACGGCUAACUACGGGCCAGCAGCCGCGGUAAUACGGAGGUGGCAAGCGGUAUCCGGAUUUAUUGGGUGUAAAGGGCGUGUAGGCGGGAGCGCAAGUCAGAUGUGAAAACUCAGGGCUCAACCCUGAGCCUGCAUUCGAAACUGUGCUUCUUGAGUGCUGGAGAGGCAAUCGGAAUUCCGUGUGUAGCGGUGAAAUGCGUAGAUAUACGGAGGAACACCAGUGGCGAAGGCGGCUUGCUGGACAGUAACUGACGCUGAGGCGCGAAAGCGUGGGGAGCAAACAGG